UACGUAGGGGGCAAGCGUUGUCCGGAUUUAUUGGGCGUAAAGAGCGUGUAGGCGGCCAGAUAGGUCAGCUGUGAAAAACUCGAGGCUCAACCUCGAGACGUCGGUUGAAACCAUCUGGCUAGAGUCCGGAAGAGGAGAGUGGAAUUCCCGGUGUAGCGGUGAAAUGCGCAGAUAUCGGGAAGAACACCCGUGGCGAAGGCGGCUCUCUGGACCGAUACUGACGCUGAGGCGCGAAAGCGUGGGGGAGCAAACAGG
rnacentral:rRNA from 1 species